CCUACGGGAGGCUGCAGUGAGGAAUAUUGGUCAAUGGCCGAGAGGCUGAACCAGCCAAGUCGCGUGAGGGAAGACGGCCCUACGGGUUGUAAACCUCUUUUGUCGGGGAGCAAAGAGAGUCACGUGUGACUCAUUGAGAGUACCCGAAGAAUAAGCAUCGGCUAACUCCGUGCCAGCAGCCGCGGUAAGACGGAUGAUGCGAGCGUUAUCCGGAUUUAUUGGGUUUAAAGGGUGCGCAGGCGGAGGUGCAAGUCAGCGGUCAAAUUGCGGGGCUCAACCCCGUACUGCCGUGGAAACUGCAUGCCUUGAGUGCGCGAGAAGUAUGCGGAAUGCGUGGUGUAGCGGUGAAAUGCAUAGAUAUCACGCAGAACUCCGAUUGCGAAGGCAGCAUACCGGCGCGCAACUGACGCUCAUGCACGAAAGCGUGGGUAUCGAACAGGAUUAGAUACCCGUGUAGUC
rnacentral:rRNA from 1 species